rnacentral:rRNA from 1 species
ACGCUCGACACCUACGGGAGCAGCAGUCGGGAAUAUUGCGCAAUGGAGGGAACUCUGACGCAGUGACGCCGCGUAUAGGAAGAAGGUUUUCGGAUUGUAAACUAUUUUAGACAGGGAAGAAUAAAGACAGUACCUGUAGAAUAAGCUCCGGCUAACUACGUGCAGCAGCCGCGGUAAUCUGAGCGGGCUGGCAAGGC